GGUUAGCUCUCUGAUGUCACCUUCUACUAUUUUUAUCAAUUGCUCAGCCCUUUCCAGAAAUUGGACUUCUUUCUUGAACAUGCCCUGCCAGGCACAAUCUGAUCUCAGUACUCUGCACUAGCUCCUACUUCUGACAGGAAUGCUCUUUUCCUGGUAUCCACAUAGCUCCCCUCCUAUACCUCCUUCAAGUUUUCUGCUUCCAGGGUCACCUUAGCAAGGCCUCCCCUGUUUUCCCCAUUGGUGUUUUACUAGGUGUUUAAAAUACCUAUCUUCUAUCCCCAUCAUUGCUUUCUUUCUUUUUUUAAAUCUUUUUGUUAAGUAAAUUUUUAAACAUACACAAAUUUAGAAAUAUUAAUAUAAAGGCCAUUCCUCCCCCAGCUAUCAUUCAGGAUCAAUAAUUAUCAAUACUUUUGCAAUUUUAUUUUUUUCACAAAUACUUUAGUCUGCUUCUUAAAUACCUGUUUUUUUGGAACACAGGCAUCAUGCCAUCAUCAAAUCUAACAAAACUAAUAGUAUAUAAUGCCGGUUCAUAUUCAAGUUUCCCAUUUGUCUCAAAGAUGUCUUAUUAUAGUUGAUAUGUUUGAUUUAAGGAUAAAUACAUUGUACAUGUUGCUUUACUCUUUUUUCUAUACCAAUAUAUUUUGCUUAUUUAUUUGCUAAUUUCCUGGCCCUCUCUCCAUUAGAAUAUCUACUCAAUGUGAGUAGUGAUUUUUGUCUGGUUUGUUCUUUGCUAUAUCCCAGCACCUAGAACAGUUCCUGGUAUCUAUAAGAUAAAAUGUAGAAGGAAGGAGUGAAUGUAGUUGGCGACAUGGAUGUAAUAUCUGAAGGGGUAUGCUGUGUCAGCAUGGUCAGAUUUAUUACUUUCCCUCUCUAAAACUUUGCCCAGUUUUUUGAGCCUCAAUGUUCUCAUCUGUAAAAUGGGACUAAUGAUACCAACUUGCAGAGUUGUGUUGAUUAGACAAAAACAAGGAGACAGUGUCUGGCAGCCAGAAUUCUCUCAAAGUAUUUUUGUUUUUCAUUGUAACUGCUUUUGUUACAAAGGCAUAUCUGUGAGACAUUAGAAUAUGAAGGAAGUGUAGUGAAGAACUUGGCCUUGCCCCAAAAUGAGGUCUGGCUUUUGUCUCUGGCUCCUGGGAGGUAGCCUCUAAACCUUUGGAGUUUUCUGAGUGAUGAGAAUGUCUUUUUAUCCUCCUUGGUUACCCUUGAUGGUGUAUGCUGUAAGGUGACUACUGGUAGACCCUUGAGCUAUGAGCUCUCAUUCCUGCUUCUGGGGUGGGUUCAAAAUGACAGUAAACACUUUUGCACAGUGUUUACCUCUUAGAAAUAAUAUGAAACUUGGUGUCCAGAGAUCUUACUUUAAAUCUCAUCUUCACCAUUUUCUUUUUGACUUUGGAAUUUGGAUGCCUGGACUGCCAAAUGGAAUACCAAUGACUGGGAGCUAAAGCAACAGAAAUUAAUUUUCUCACAGUUCUGGAGGCUGGAAGUCCAAGACGAGGGUGUCAGCAGGUUGGUCUGUGGCGAGGCCUCUCCUCUGGCUCACACACAGCUGCCUGCUCACUGUGUCCUCACCUGGCCUCCUUCCAUGGCCCAUGCAGAGAGAAGUAUGUGGUGUCUCUUCCUCUUCUGAAAAAGAGCAAUCCUGUUGGGAUAGGGCCCCACUGAUAUGACCUUUUUCAACCUAAUUACCUCCAUAAAGGCACUAUCCCCAAAUAUAGUCACAUGGAGGGUUAGGACUUCAACAUAUGAAUUUUGAGAUAUAUAAUUUUGAACAUUACAGAAAUGUUGCUUAAUUUUGGUUUUCUCAUGUAAAAGUUCUAAUGCUAGGUACAAAAUCUUAAUGCUAUUUUACAGGAAACAUUUGCUCUGAAGAUCAAACAGGGAGAUACAUGUAGUAGACCCUUUGUACUUGAUUUUUAACUGUGUGUCAAUUUAUUUUUUCAGCCCCUGCUAUACAAUUGACUAUUGAGAGGAGAUACUGAAGGAAAUGUAGAAUUUAUAUGAGAUUACAUAUGUGCUUACAAAUUGAUUUUCAGCAUUUGUGAACUACACUAAGGAAUUUUUGGAAAAGGGAGCCCAUAUGAUGUUAAAACAAAAGAAGAAAUUCGGCGAAGGAGGCAGCCAAUCCCAUCUUUGAGGGAUGUUUCUGUCAAUCAGAAAAUGUUUUUAGAGCUGACCUGCUUGCAAAGCUGAGGCCAAGGAGAACUGAGUUCUUUGCCCAGGAGGACAGUAGUGACCUGCAUCCUGCAUCAUGGAAGAGAGAGCACACCUCUGGGAACAGUGGCUGGGAUAUGCAAAGAACAUUUGGACAACUUCCCACAGUGGGAUAAGAGAUUCUGGACCUGUGUCUCAGUCAUGGAUAAGCAGGAGUGGAAAGGCUUUUAUGAACUCCGAGGACAUCUAGUCCCCUGGUAUCACACUGUAUCUACAUCUAAGGUCAACUCCGAAGGGCCUGUCUACCCUGUUCUCCAUUCCUGUAUACAAGAGUAUACUCCUGUACUGCUCCUGGCAUAUAUAUUGAUAUCAUAUCUUGGAUGGCAUCAAACCUACCUCUGGCCAGACCCCUCCUUUUGAGCUCGUGGCUCCUUUUUUUGGCUGAAGACCUUUUUGGCUGCUUGUUAGGAGACUGUUCGUGCAUAUCCCUCGGACACCUGAAUCCAACAAUUUCAAAACCAAAUGCAAAAUCUUUCUUCCCAAACUUUCUUUUAGAAUCACCGUACAAUAAAUUUCCAAGGCAGAAGUGUUGAAGUCAUCAGAAUCUUACUCUUCUGUCACUCCCUGUGUACAAUGGUUCACCAAAUUCCUACAGCUUCCACCACCUAGAUUUUGCUUUACUUCAAUUCAUCUCAUUCUUUCUAAUCCUGUUUCUGCAGCACAGGUUUAGGCAGCCAUUGUUUCAUUAGUGGAUUUUUCAACAGGCUUCUAACAACUCAUUUGCCAGGUUCCACUACUGUCUUCUCCAAUUAGGCUGACAUGUAAUUUGUCAACCAAACUAGGACACUUUUGAGAGAAACAGGAGUGUUAUUAAACAUUAUGCUUUGAAAUCAUGCAUCAACAAGGAAUGUCCCAGGUAAACUAGGACAUAUGGACACCCCUCUAAUUUAUCAGCACAGCUGUCAGAACCUGCUUUGCAAAGCACUUGUCUGACCCUGUCACUUGCUUUCCCAUAUAGUGUGUCUAAGGGGAAUGCAUGUACUGUUCUAAUGACUGGAGCAUUCUGCUCUGCUUGGCUGGGUUUCUUGCUAUAAAUCAAUUAGCUGUCUUCAUCUCUUGCAGUUGGGGGUAAAUUUUAGCAAAUAGAAGUCUUACCAGGGUUGGAUCACUUUGGAGUAUCAUACAAAAAAAAAAAAAAGCGACCAUUGGGAUUUGGCAAGCUUGGAAUAUGCUGAUCUGACUGAGGCAUUACUCACACCUGUGCCCCAUCAAGUGGCACCACAGAGGACAUCACCAGCAUACAGACUUCUGCUCUAUAAACUGUCAUCUGUCAACUGCUGUCGGAUCAGUGCUUAACUAAGUCAAUGAACGAGCAGUUUAAUAAAUGACUGAACAAGGUAUAAAGCGGUUAGCUAUCCUCACUAGGUAUAUCAGCAUUUUCCGCAUUAGUUUUUUGCUUUUCAGAGAAAGUAGCAGGAGAAAAGAUUUUUUCCUGAUAAGAAUACACUUACUUUUCAUUCACUGAGGAAAAGAGUCCUUUCUUACAACUUCUCUGAGGAAACCAGCUGUUUUCUUAAUUGAUAUUUGUGAUCUUUCUUAAAUAUGAAAAGUUUCAUUAUAUAAUAAAUCUGUAUUUAUUGCAGAAAAAUUGGAAAAGAUGGACUAGCAAAAGAAAAAGGACCCAUCUUUCUACUUUGGACACAGGAUCAUGUUAAUUUUGUUUACAUUCUUCAGAUUUGCUCUGUGCGAAUGAAGGUAUAAACAGGUCACAUAUAACAAAAAUAGAAGCAUACUAAGUAUGAUGAAAUAUAACUUCCUUUUUUCCACUUUGCAAUA